rnacentral:rRNA from 1 species
AGCGAACGCUGGCGGCAGGCCUAACACAUGCAAGUCGAACGAACUCUUCGGAGUUAGUGGCGGACGGGUGAGUAACACGUGGGAACGUGCCUUUUGGUUCGGAAUAAUUCAGGGAAACUUGUGCUAAUACCGAAUGUGCCCUUCGGGGGAAAGAUUUAUCGCCAUUAGAGCGGCCCGCGUCUGAUUAGCUAGUUGGUGAGGUAACGGCUCACCAAGGCGACGAUCAGUAGCUGGUCUGAGAGGAUGACCAGCCACACUGGGACUGAGACACGGCCCAGACUCCUACGGGAGGCAGCAGUGGGGAAUCUUGCGCAAUGGGCGAAAGCCUGACGCAGCCAUGCCGCGUGAAUGAUGAAGGUCUUAGGAUUGUAAAAUUCUUUCACCGGGGACGAUAAUGACGGUACCCGGAGAAGAAGCCCCGGCUAACUUCGUG